GGACCCGCACAAGCGGUGGAUGAUGUGGUUUAAUUCGAUGCAACGCGAAAAACCUUACCCACCUUUGACAUGUACGGAAUCCUUUAGAGAUAGAGGAGUGCUCGAAAGAGAGCCGUAACACAGGUGCUGCAUGGCUGUCGUCAGCUCGUGUCGUGAGAUGUUGGGUUAAGUCCCGCAACGAGCGCAACCCUUGUCAUUAGUUGCUACAUUUAGUUGGGCACUCUAAUGAGACUGCCGGUGACAAGCCGGAGGAAGGUGGGGAUGACGUCAAGUCCUCAUGGCCCUUAUAGGUGGGGCUACACACGUCAUACAAUGGCUGGUACAGAGGGUUGCCAACCCGCGAGGGGGAGCCAAUCCCAUAAAGCCAGUCGUAGUCCGGAUCGUAGUCUGCAACUCGACUACGUGAAGUCGGAAUCGCUAGUAAUCGCGGAUCAGAAUGUCGCGGUGAAUACGUUCCCGGGUCUUGUACACACCGCCCGUCACACCAUGGGAGCGGGUUCUGCCAGAAGUAGUUAGCCUAACCGCAAGGAGGGCGAUUACCACGGCAGGGUUCGUGACUGGGGUGAAGUCGUAACAAGGUAGCCGUAUCGGAAGGUGCGGCU
rnacentral:rRNA from 1 species